UAAUACGAACCGUCCAAACGUUACUCGGAAUUACUGGGCUUAAAGGGUGCGUAGGCCGCGCGGAGGGUGGGAUGUGAAAUCCCCCGGCUCAACCGGGGAAUAGCGUCCCAAACCGCCGUGCUCGAGGGAGACAGAGGUGAGCGGAACUGAUGGUGGAGCGGUGAAAUGCGUUGAUAUCAUCAGGAACACCAGUGGCGAAAGCGGCUCACUGGGCCUUUCCUAACGCUGAGGCACGAAAGCUAGGGGAGCGAACGG
rnacentral:rRNA from 1 species